rnacentral:rRNA from 1 species
GGCGAACGGGUGAGUAAUAUAUCGGAACGUGCCCAGUCGUGGGGGAUAACGCAGCGAAAGCUGUGCUAAUACCGCAUACGAUCUCUGGAUGAAAGCGGGGGACUCGCAAGAGCCUCGCGCGAUUGGAGCGGCCGAUAUCAGAUUAGCUAGUUGGUGGGGUAAAAGCCCACCAAGGCGACGAUCUGUAGCUGGUCUGAGAGGACGACCAGCCACACUGGAACUGAGACACGGUCCAGACUCCUACGGGAGGCAGCAGUGGGGAAUUUUGGACAAUGGGCGCAAGCCUGAUCCAGCAAUGCCGCGUGCAGGAUGAAGGCCUUCGGGUUGUAAACUGCUUUUGUACGGAACGAAACGGUCCUUUCUAAUACGAGGGGCUAAUGACGGUACCGUAAGAAUAAGCACCGGCUAACUACGUGCCAGCAGCCGCGGUAAUACGUAGGGUGCGAGCGUUAAUCGGAAUUACUGGGCGUAAAGCGUGCGCAGGCGGUGAUGUAAGACAGAUGUGAAAUCCCCGGGCUCAACCUGGGACCUGCAUUUGUGACUGCAUCGCUAGAGUACGGUAGAGGGGGAUGGAAUUCCGCGUGUAGCAGUGAAAUGCGUAGAUAUGCGGAGGAA